GACGAACGCUGGCGGCGUGCCUAAUACAUGCAAGUAGAACGCACAGUUUAUACCGUAGCUUGCUACACCAUAGACUGUGGGUUGCGAACGGGUGAGUAACGCGUAGGUAACCUGCCUGGUAGCGGGGGAUAACUAUUGGAAACGAUAGCUAAUACCGCAUAAUAUUAAUUAUUGCGUGAUAAUUAAUUGAAAGGUGCAAUUGCACCACUACCAGAUGGACCUGCGUUGUAUUAGCUAGUAGGUGAGGUAACGGCUCACCUAGGCGACGAUACAUAGCCGACCUGAGAGGGUGAUCGGCCACACUGGGACUGAGACACGGCCCAGACUCCUACGGGAGGCAGCAGUAGGGAAUCUUCGGCAAUGGACGAAAGUCUGACCGAGCAACGCCGCGUGAGUGAAGAAGGUUUUCGGAUCGUAAAGCUCUGUUGUAAGAGAAGAACGGGUGUGAGAGUGGAAAGUUCACACUGUGACGGUAUCUUACCAGAAAGGGACGGCUAACUACGUG
rnacentral:rRNA from 1 species